UUGGGGAUUUAGCUAAGUGGAAGAGCCCUUGCCUGGCAAGUGCAAGAGCCUGAAUUUGGUCCUCAGCUCUGAAAAAAUAAAGAUAGGGAAA